rnacentral:rRNA from 1 species
CGCUGGCGGCGUGCCUAACACAUGCAAGUCGAACGGACGAGAGGAGCUUGCUCCUCAAGUUAGUGGCGGACGGGUGAGUAACACGUGAGCAACCUGCCCUUCGAGGGGACAACAGCUGGAAACGGCUGCUAAUACCGCAUGAUACAGUCUGGAGGCAUCUCCGGACUGUCAAAGAUUUUAUCGCCGAAGGAUGGGCUCGCGUCUGAUUAGAUAGUUGGUGGGUAACGGCCCACCAAGUCGACGAUCAGUAGCCGGACUGAGAGGUUGAACGGCUACAUUGGGACUGAGAUACGGCCCAGACUCCUACGGGAGGCAGCAGUGGGGAAUAUUGGGCAAUGGGGGGCAACCCUGACCCAGCAACGCCGCGUGGAGGAAGAAGGCUUUCGGGUUGUAAACUCCUUUGACGAGGGACGAUAGUGACGGUACCUCGAAAACAAGCCACGGCUAACUACGUGCCAGCCGCGGC